CACGCCAGGGAGGUUUGUGGGGAACUGCAGCCCGCGGAAGGGACUCACGUUGGAGACGUUCGUGGGGGACUGUCUCCCGUGGGAGGGACACCACGGUAGAUCAGGGGAAGAGUG